CAGGCCCCAGUGAGGGGGAAGGGGGCUAAAAGCCCAAAGAGAAGCUCCACGUCUGCCCCCAACACCUGGCCCUUCCUACAAAGUC
rnacentral:lncRNA from 1 species